rnacentral:rRNA from 1 species
GACGAACGCUGGCGGCGUGCCUAAUACAUGCACGUAGGACGCAGUUGCGAACGGUUGAGUAACGCGUAGGUAACUACCUAGAAGAGGGGGAUAACUAUUGGAAACGAUAGCUAAUACCGAAUAUUCGUAGAUGGACAUGCGUUGUAUUAGCUAGUAGGUAGGGUAAGGGCCUACCUAGGCAACGAUACAUAGCCGCCCUGAGCGGGGGAUCGGCUACACUGGGACUGAGACACGGCCCAGACUCCUACGGGAGGCAGCAGUAGGGAAUCUUCGGCAAGUGGGGGAACCCUGACCGAGCAACUCCGCGUGAUUGAAGAAGGUGUUCGGAUCGUAAAGCUCUGUUGUUAAGGAAGCGGUACUUAACCAGAAAGGGACGGCUAACUUCGUGCCAGCAGCCGCGGUAAUUC